rfam:Triticum aestivum genome assembly, contig: Triticum_aestivum_CS42_TGACv1_scaffold_486422_6AS
CAGUUACUCCCUCCAUCCGAAAUUACUUGUCAUAAAAAUGGUUAGAAAUGGAUGUAUCUAGAGCUAAAUUAUGUCUAGAUACAUUCAUUUAUUCGACAAGUAUUUCCGGACGGAGAGAGUAUGUU